GACGAACGCUGGCGGCGUGCUUAACACAUGCAAGUCGAACGAAGUGGCGAACGGGUGAGUAACGCGUAAUCAACCUGCCCUUCAGAGGGGGACAACAGUUGGAAAGGACUGCUAAUACCGCAUACUGAAGGAGGGGAAUGCGGCUGAUUAGCUAGUGGGAGGGGUAACGGCCCCCCAAGGCGAUGAUCAGGAGCCGGGCUGGGAGGAUGGACGGCCACAAUGGGACUGAGACACGGCCCAGACUCCUACGGGAGGCAGCAGUGGGGGAUCUUCCGCAAUUGAGGGAAGUCUGACGGAGGAACGCCGCGUGAGUGGUGACGGCCUUCGGGUUGUAAAGCUCUGUUAAUCGGGACGCGGUACCGGAAUAGAAAGCCACGGCUAACUACGUGCCAGCCGCCGCGGUAAUAC
rnacentral:rRNA from 1 species